AGCAGGCUCCAUGCUGUCAGUACAGAUCCUGAUGCAGGGCUCGAUCUCACUAACGGUGAGAUUAUGACCUGAGCUGAAACAAAGAGGUGGACACCUAACCGACUGAACCACCCAGGUGCCCCUGUAGUGUCUUGAUGUUAAAAAAAUACAGCAGGGUCAGCUUUUUCUGGAAGGCUGCGGUCAGUAAGAUGUCCAGAACAAAACCAACAAGCACCUAUCUGUCUCGUUUACUUGAUAUAGCUCAUUGCCAAUGAAACUGCAACCGUGAAGAAAAAAAGACACUGGAAAGAAUGGGGUGGAGACAGUAUCCCAGGCUGGGGGAACAGCCCAAGCAAAGACACAGCAUCCUCAGAGGACUCUGAGCAGACUAGCUAAGCUCUACCCAGGCACUCAUCAGACUCUUGGCCAUUCCAGGCGUGGACAAGUGAAGGAAAGCAUCGCUGUGAUGGAGAGGUCUGCCUGCCAGGAGAUCGGCACAGUCCAGGCCUGCCUUUGCCUCGCUGCCUGUAGGCACGAAGGGUUUCUGCUUUACAACAGCCAUUUUUGUAACCCUGCCGCGUCUUAGAAUCCAACAUCCGGAGUGUCUUUGUGGUUUCGUCGGGUAGGCUGAGCACGCUUUUGGCAGUGUUUAGCUUCCUCUGUUGAAGGUCAUGUAAACAGAUGGGGCUGAGACUGUCUCCCACUUCUGAGGACUGCUACCAUUAUAGGUACGAAAGAACAGUCACUGGGAACAGAGGCAAACCAGUUUAAAACGAAGCAAACAACCAAACCAGCCCACGAGGACACCCGAGACUGUGAGAAGAGCAGAUCAAAGCAAAUUUGGGACAUUGAUUUCUUACUCUCAGGCCACGCUGAUGGGCCCAGACCCAUGAGGAGAAAUGCCCUCGGGAUCACACAGCUUGGAAGGGGCAUAGCUGAGAUUUAAAUGGAGGUCUGAUUCCAGCACCGGAGCUCAGAACUCAAAAUCGCUGCAUGAGAACACCUCAUCUGUUAAGUGGAAUAACAGCAGGACCCACCUUCCAAUGGGAAUGUUCUGCGGUUCGGAAGAGGCCAUCUAUAUACAGCCUUCAUAAGGGGUCAGGUCAUGGCUGCCGUUACCAAUCUGCUUUUGCUAAACCCACUGUUAACGCUGCUCAGUUCAGUGCUUUGGGGCACACGCUGUUACCAAGUCCUUCUCUUUUCUGGGUUCGGUUCUCAACUGGUUUCACUUUUAAAAGAUAUUCUAUGAAAGAAAUUCUGGAGGCAGCAUCCUUCCUUCCGUGGGGUGUCAGAAGAGGCAUCUAUCCUUAAGAAGAGGGGCAGAGGGAGCCUGGUGUCUAAACAUGGCCAGCAGAGCCCUACUGGGAAGCUGCCCAUGGGGUCUCUCCACCCCACAGGUGGCCUGUUCCUACAACCAACCACCUCCCCUCCACACAGACUGCAACCAGCCUCCCUCGCUGCUCUCUCCCUUUCAACCCUGUGUCCUGAGCUGCAGCCAGCCUGCAUGGAGGGCACACUCUCUCCUCCAACUGCCCCGUGACAAGGGCUCUGCCUUGCUCGCCUCCCCACAAGUUCCAGACCACGGUUUUCCCCAGUCCCCUUCCCGGCUCUCAGCUGGGGUUUCAGAAACACGUGGCUGUGAGUCUGGCCCUUUACAUUCAGGCUUCACUUUGGACAGCCCUAAAGAGGGGCUCUGUCUUCACCAGUGAAGAAAAAAUAGAGCAGGGUCAUCCCUAAAGAAUUCAGAACUCCAUUCUCAAAAUACGGCCCAAAUCUGCUCCAGAGAGAACAACGAGUUUUAGUCACAAGAUUAGAAGUCAUCAAAAUUGCUGGAAACUGUAGAAUUGGGUCUUACUCUCCAAUAGAAUAGAAUAAGUUAUGUUCUUCUGCCCUCUACUGGUAAAGAGCAGCAUCAGCGCUCCCAGAGCCCUCAGCAAGGAUGCAAACAAAAUAUGGUGGUGACUCACGGUGCUCCCUUCUCUUUCCUAGAGACACGCUGGAUGGGACUUCUGCUAUUAACUCGUGGCGGGAGGAGGGGGAGGCUACCAUCAGCAAGAUGCCCAGGUGGACUAGAAACGUGCCCCUCUGUCUUAUAUCCGGGGAGGCUUCAAACUUCCAGUGAACCCAGAACCAUGGAUGAUGUCCCUUCGCACUGGCCCAGAGGGUGAGGACAGAUGUUGCCCGGGACUGCGAGCAGGACUCUAGGCUGAGGGAACAGCCUGAGCAAAGGAAUGAAUGGCACACCGAGGGGAACCACGAAUGAACCAAAGGUCCACCCCUUGGUCAUUCCAGGCACAGAGAAAAGAUGCUAUUUCAUUCCCAGGAAGAGAGCUUCUAUUGCUCAGAAGACAUGGGUACAUCCCUGUUCCCCCCCCCCCCCCAGGCCUCAGUUUCCUCAUUUGUACAAUGAAAGGGUUGGAAGAGAAUGAUGUGAGGUCCUUUCUGGCUCAGAGAUUCUGGUAACUACCCCACGGGCCUUAACCUAAGGGGACCACUGCCUACACGCUGAGGGCAGAAUAUGCUUCUUGGCCACUUGGCCUCUCCUUCCAGGCAGGCUUCCCCGUUGCACGGGGCAUGCAACCCCCUCCCCUCCCCCUCUUUUGUGAUUCUUAUCUGGUACUGCCUUUGGCACAGUGGUGGAAGCUUUUUUGUUCAUGCAAUCAAAAUGGCGGCCAACUCCCACCACAUGUUGGUUCUCUGACCAGGCUUCUGCUCGUCCUUGGGCUCGCUAGGAGUCAGGGUUCAAAGGUCAACCAACUGCUACAACACAGCAGCAUCCAACCACCUCCUGAACAAAGCCAGCACUUGAAAGGAAUAAGUAAAUAAAGCUGCAUUUGCUUCCUUUUUUCCCUCCCCACUUGGAUAUUCGUCACAUCAUUAGCUAUAAGUAAAUAUAUCAGUGGGAUUAAUGGAGUGAAUCACAAAGAAACCUGAUUAGAUUGAAAACCACAUUAUUUCUUUGGGGUGAAUUGGUAAAUUUAGCGCUGCCCAGAGAUGAUGGACUGAGAAAACCAGGAAUGGAGCUCUUAUUGAUCUUGAGAAUAGAUCGGUAAGAGGAGGAGAGGCUGGCAUGGCUUCCUGCGCUCAGUUCUCCGAGACACAGGAAUCAUGGCUUCUCUGCUCACUGAACUGCACAGAAAUAGCGUGUGCUGUUCUGGGCUCAUAGUCGGAGUCGUGACCACACGUGGUAGGUAGGGUCCAAGAUGGCCACCAACGAUCCUACCCCUGGUAUUCACGUCCUUUCCCCGGAGUGUAAACCAGAACCAGAGGCUUGCUUUCAACCCUCCAGAAUGCAGAAGCAGUGACUUGCCACUUCUGAGACGAGGUUACAAACAGACCAUGGCUCUGGUCUCAGCCGCUCUCUCUCACCUUCUUUUGGGUUGUUUGCUCUGGGGGAACCCUGGUGAGGGAGCCCUGCAGAGAGACCCAUGGACGUGAGCCUGAACGCGGAUCCUCCAAGGCCUGCCAACGGCCUUGGAAGUGAACUUACAAGCGGAAGCUCCCCGGGCUGAGCUCUGAGAUGACUGGAGGCCAUGUCGACAUCCUGACUGCAGCCUCAUGGGAGACGCCGAAUCAGAACCACCCAACCAAGAUGCUCCUGGAUUCCGGACCCACAGAAAUAAACUAUAAUGGGAUAA